GUAUAAAAUCGCGCCGUCUGGCCAUUGGACUUAGUAUCAACACUAGAGAGCGAGCAGAGAGACCACCCACAGGUCAACACAGCCUCGCCAGCAACACCCUGGCCACGCCUGUGCACCGAGCGAGCCUCGUCACACCGACGCCAAACCAUCACGCACUCACUGAAUCAAAAAGUAGAAAAGAUUGCAUCACACGUAACUCAGAUCUCUAAGAUGAAUAUCAAACUGGUACUCCUGGUGCUGGUGGUGAUGCUGGGCGCGGUGCUGGGCAGGCCCCAGUACUUCGGCAGAACGAGGCAGUUCCCCGGCCAGCGGCUGAGGGGCAGCACCAACUACGGCACCCACUCCUUUGGCAGGAAGGGCUUCAGAGAUAUUCCUAUGGCCAGACUUCACUAAGAACAAUGACUUUUCACAACACCGGAAAGUAUUAUUCUGAGCAGCCUGACGCUCCGGCCAGAUGGUUCUUUUCACCUUCUGUGAAAGUUCUUCCUGCUCGCAACUCUUCAGUACCCAGGAAACUGAAAUCAUCGCACCCUCCACAUGUCAUCAAGUAGCUGCUGAUUAGUGACUUUAUCUGAGCAGGGUGUCGGCAUACAACACUUGAGGAACUAUGUAUUUUCCGUUAUAUGGUUAAUAUACAUUCAUUCCCUUCCAUGUUCAGUGUCAUCAAGGUAUUUUGCCUCCUUGAGCUUCGCCGUCGCCUGGGUUAGGGUGGGGCGGCUUUCCUGGCAACGUGGGCACUCCUGUCUUUGGCAGUGUGGCGUGCAUUCAGUGACCCAACCUUGGGGAUACUCGUGUAAACAAGAGUUUUUGUAUUCAUCAAUUUAUACCUUUUUGAAGAAAACACGUGAAGACUUGGUCAUGAAGACACUGAACUUUCCUUCACUUUGUAUAUCUGUACGCUGGCAAUAUUUUCUUAAUUCAUUCCUAAAAAGUGUUCUCUAGCUAAGACUCAAGACCCUACAGGAAAAUGUCAUCAUGUCUCGUGUAGGCAACAUGUCUGAAGGUUGUUACGUCUGAGGGUUACUGCAUCAAUAGGCUCCUCGUAAGAAGAGUCUGUCUGAAUGAUGCACGCCUCUCUGCUCCGUGAAUUUGGUAUUCAGGAGUUUGUCCAUUGCACUGGUAAAGACGAUGUUUAUCGUUGUGUGGUGAGCCUUUUGCAUCAAGAAUAUAAGCAAACUGCAACGAGCAAGUAAUAACAGAAGGAAUGUUAUUUUUUUGUUGUUGUUGUAUGCUCACACUUGUUCUACAAAAAAAAAACUUUGUGCCUCAAUAAUAUCUGCAUAAUAAAUAAUUUUCCACGAUA